rnacentral:lncRNA from 1 species
CUUCCAUCAGCCAAAAAUAAUUAUUUAAUGGCAAAAAGCCACCAAAAUUUCAUGAAAAAGUUGGCAACAGCAUAAAAGGUAUUUUAUUGUGAAAAAAAUACUGACACUAAGGGGAUUUUUUUUUGUGAUUUUUUUUUUUAAAAAAAAUCAGCCCAUUCCAUUAUCUAUGCUGUUAUCCUUUUCAAGAUAUCCAAAUUUUUUCAAUAAUUAUCACUUCAAAUUUGGUAAAAAAAAAAAAAAGUUGAAAAAGAAACCAUCACCCAAUUCAACACCAAACCCCACCCUCUUUAGGUGAUUAUCUAGGUUUUAGCAAGACUUCUCAAAACAAACUAAUCAUGCAUACAAGGGAGCAGAGGAAAUUUGAAAGAUAGGAAAUAGUUAAUUAACAAAAUCUUAAAAAUAUAAAUCACUAUAUUUGUCAACAUGGAAUGUUUUUUUUUUUUUUUUUUUGAUAAGUAAACAAGAUAUGUAUUAGAACAGGCUAAACGCCACAAAGCAUACAGGGAGUAUACAAGACGGCUAAAGCCUCAAAAAAGAAAAAGGACCAGAAAGAAACUACCUCCCCUUAAGUGGAAGCUAUCCACUCCAAAAAACCUAUGAGGGAAAAAGACUCCUCACCUAGAUACACUUUGGCCCAAUUCCACAAGUUACAGACAAAAGAAUACUUUAAUUUCUGAAUAUUCAACUCACCCCCCCUAAAAGCUAACCUAUUCCUCUCCCUCCAAACCGUCCAAAAAAUACAUAACGGAAUGGAUUUCCAAAUCCUUUUCCUUUUCUUCCCUACAAAUGAGCCCCUCCAGGAGAUUAAAGUCUCCUUUACAGUUUCUGGGAGGACCCACUUAACAUCUAUCAACCCAAAAAUAAUAUCCCAAAGGGCUCUAGUCACUAUACAGUGUAAAAGAAUAUGAUUUACAUUCUCUUCUUCACAACCACACAGAAAGCAGCAAUUCGGGAGAUGCACCCCUCUUAACUGGAGUCUAUCCAGAGUAAGCACCUUCCCCCACGUAGCCUCCCAAGCAAAAAAACAGACUUUAGUUGGCACCCUAUCCACCCAUAUUCUCCUUGCGGGAAAUACUAUGACAUUAGGCUUGUCCAACUGCCUGUAAGCUUCUUUGAUUUUGAAAAUACCAUUUCUUCCCUGCUUCCACACAACUGAAUCAUCCUCCAAGGAGGGCCUGUAGCCCCUCAAAGUAUGAAGCAGCUCUCCAACCAUAUCCAUCUCCCAAUCAUUGAAGUCCCUCACAAAAACAAGCUUCCAAUCCCCUUGGCCCGAAUCUUGAUCCCACAUCUCCUCAAUCGUAGCAUCCCUAUGCACGGCAAGGACAAAGAGUUGAUUGAAGCGUUGGGACAACGGAAUGUCAGUGCACCAUCUAUCUUUCCAAAAUUUGAUUUUGGAACCCUUCCCAACUAUAAAUGCCAAAUUUUCCCAGCACCAAUCAGAUUCCUUCAUGAUCUCCUUCUAGACCCCUACUCCAGCCGCCCCACGGACCUUCUUUGGCCUCCAGCCAUAAUCCUCUUGCCCAUAUUUUGUAGUGAUCACUUGGUUCCAGAAAUUAUUCUUUUCACAAGCAAACCUCCAAAUCCACUUUCCCAGCAAGGCUCUAUUCAGAGUGGCUAUUCUCCUUAAUCCUAGCCCUCCCUUGUGUUUCUCUGUACAGACCGCAUCCCAUUUAACUAGAUGAACUUUGCCCUCCAAGUUUCCUCCCCCCCAUAGGAAAUCUCUUUGGGUUUUUUCCACUCUUUUAGCAACAGACUUAGGCAUGCGGAAAAUAGACAGUUGGUAAAUUGGCAAGCUAGCCAAGGUGCUUUUUAUGAGAGUGAUUCUCCCCCCUUUGGAUAUGUACUGUCUUUUCCAAAGCGCAAGUCUCCUCCUGAUCCUCUCUUCCACCCCAUCCCACAUAGAAGUAGCCCUAUUGGGGACCCCUAAGGGGAGGCCCAAAUAAUGAGAGGGCAAAGACCCCACCCUGCCACCUAGCUCAGCUGCCAACUCAAGAAUAUCCUCCACGUCUCCAACUGGAAUGAUCUCACUUUUGGCUAGAUUAAUCCGAAGACCCGAAGCCGCUUCAAACCAAAAGAGAAUCCAGCUUAGGUGAGAAACUUGCUCUUUGCUCGCCUCACAAAACACAAUUGUGUCAUCGGCAAAAAAUAGGUGGGAAAUAUUCAAGGAUGUUCUACUGCCACCCCGUAUAUUGCACCCUGAAAUAUAACCCCCCUCCACCGCUCUCCUGAUAAGGACGUCCAGAACCUCCAUUCCCAUAACAAAGAGAUAAGGGGAAAGGGGGUCCCCUUGACGAAGCCCUCUAGUGCUAGGAAAGAACCCAGCUGGCACUCCAUUAACAAGAAUGGAGAAUUUAGCAGAGGAAACGCAACUCCACAUCCAUCCCAUCCACUUGGGCCCAAAGCCCAUUUUUUGGAGAACCUUCAUCAAGAAUUUCCAAUUGAUGCUAUCGUAAGCUUUUUCUAUAUCCAAUUUGCAGAUAAGACCCUUUUCUUUCCUCUUCUGCCACGAAUCUAUCACCUCAUUAGCAAUUAAAGACGCAUCCAGAAUUUGUCUUCCCUUUACAAAGGCAUUCUGAGCAAUAGACACCACCUUACCAAUCACUUUUUUGAGCCUAUUAGCUAAAACUUUAGCCAACAGUUUAUAGAGCCCCCCCACCAGGCUGAUAGGUCUAAAGUCUCCAAGAUUCUCCGCCCCACUUUUCUUAGGAAUCAACACCAAAAAGGUGUUGUUAAGGCUCUUAACAAAAGAACUAUGCUCAUGAAACUCUUUAAACAUCUCCAUGAUCUCCUCCUUGGCAAAGUCCCAUGCAUCUUGCCAAAAGGCAACAGUGAAGCCAUCCGGGCCAGGGGCUUUAUCCCCAUUCAUCUCCAUCAACGCCGAGUGAAUCUCAUUCUCUGCAAAUGGGGUUUCCAGACUCUCUGCAUCUUGCAGGCUGAUACAACCCACCGGAAUGCUACCAAUAUCCGCCUGCCAACCCAUGUCUUCAGUAAGCAACUGCUGAAACGAGUUCACAACACCUUCUCUCACCUCGUGCUCCUCUACUAGCCACUCCCCAUUAACCUUAAUUCUGUCCAUAGCGUUGUGUCUUCGAUGUGCACUAGCCAUUCUAUGGAAAAACCCCGUAUUUUUAUCCCCGUCCUUUAACCAAAGCUCCCUUGAGUGCUGUCUCCAAUGGGCUUCCUCCAACAGGACCCAUUUCUUAAAGGAAUCUUUAGCUUCCUUUUUUAGUUCAGCUUCCUCCAUAGACAAAACUCUCUCACUUUCCACCCGAUCCCAAAAAUCUACUUGAUGUAAAGCCAAAGCUUUAUUAGUUUCCAGCCUCCCAAAAACCUCUUUGUUCCACACUUUCAGCUUCUUUUUAAUUUCCUUCAUUUUGACGGCCAAUCUAUAACUAGCGCUGCCCCUGACUUCAAUUCCUUGCCACCAGGUUCUAACAAUGUCAUUAAAUCCCUCAACCUUAAGCCACAUAUUUUCGAAUCUAAACGGGGUUGGGCCUCUUCUUAUCCCACCCCCCUCUAACACGAUUGGAAAGUGAUCAGAAGUUGGCCGAGAUAACCUGCCCUGCGUGACGCCACUAAACUGAUCUAACCAGCUAGGAGAGACUAAAAAUCUAUCUAGUCUCGCCCACGCCUGAUUAUUCAGCCCCCCACUCCAUGUGAACUCUCCCCCCUGAAGGGGCAAGUCCACCAGCUCUAGAUCAUCCACAAACUCUGCAAAUCUCCGCAUGGCUGAGCUGGUUCUUCUUUGGCUGCUCCUUUCGUGUUGGAACAGAGUGAUGUUAAAAUCCCCACCGAGACACCAGGGAUCAUCCCAAAGGCCUCUUAUUGCCCCAAGUUCUUCCCACAUACCCUCCCUUUCCACUUUGGUGAAAGGGCCAUACACUCCCGUAAAAACCCAAGUAGCCCCAUUUUCUAUGGUCUUGAAUCUACAAGACAAGGAAAACUGACCCUCUUCCCAGUCCAGAAUCUCCAGGACCCGCUUAUCCCAGCAUAUCAAAAUGCCACCCGCAGCCCCUUCCGCAUUUAGGGCUCUCCAAUCUAAGAAUCUCCCCGAACCCAGACUUCUCACUAUACCCUCCGACAUCUCCUGAAUCUUAGUUUCCUGAAUGCACAUUAGGUCCACCCUCUGGUUCCUUAUAUAGUUAUUAAUGAUUUUCCUCUUAGAGCUAUCAUUAGCUCCCCUCACAUUCCAGGUAAUAAUCUUCAUCUUCAUCGGGCAACUAUCAACUAGUUCCCCUUGCCCUGUGAAGGAACUUUCUGCUUAGUCCCUCCCUCGUAAUUGACAGAGCAUUCCAACCUCUUCAGCUCCCUUUCAAACUUGGUCUUUUCCAAGAGUUCUUUACUGUGAAUCUUUUCCCGCCUCUUUCUGAUUUUAAUCAAAAAGCUCAAAAUCUCCUUUUCCAGUCCCUCUGUAGAGAAUCCCAAGAACUGGCUAAAUUUAGCUAGACUGCCUUCCUCCCAUAGAUCCUCUUUCUCAUUUUCAGUAUGUUGAGAACCAAAGCCACCAUUGUUCCCCUCCUUGCCCCUAGCCACGUCACUGUUCUUGUUGACCUCUCCCAAUUUCCAGGAUCCAUCUACAUUCUCAACGAUCCCCUCAUAUACUGUUAACCAAGUUGACAUAUCCCUCCUUAAUUCCUCCUCAAUACCCCCUGGGCGAUCGAAAGACUCCCCCUCCGGAGCCCAAUCAGAAUUAGAAAAUAGAAGAAGAGGUGUACACACAGCCCGUUUACCUUUAGGAUGGGAAAAUGAGGCAUACCUUUUAGCUUCCUCUUCCAGCACACGGUCAGUCAUUGAAAGACCAACAUCCCUUUGUUCCCUUCUAGACUCCUCUAGCACCAAACUCAUCAAAGGAUCCUCUGAAAAGGUUCCUUUUCUGGAACUAAAACAGCCCAGAAGACCAGCCUUCUCUAGUGGAGCAGUUGGGUCCUCCCUUUCCGGGCCUCCCACCUCAGUUAAUUGAUGGCAGGCCAUUUCAGCAGCCCAACUUGGGCCUGCCUCUGAAUCACCAGUCACCUUAGCCUUAUUUUUUAACUUACGGCCCAAUAGCCCAUCUAUUUUGUUCGGCCCACCAUCCUUCUCCAACCCAUAAAGGCCCAUAUUUGGGCCACAUGCGGCCGACCCAUCCAUUCUGCCAUCUGGGCAUACCCAGUCCCAGGACACCUUGCCAUGGGUCUGUAUCCCGGGUGCUGGACCCUGCCCAUUCUCCUACACAGCUCUCCCAUCAUCUGGCAACUGCAGGUCCUCGUUUCCCGCACCUACCAACUCCUUUCCCACGCGCUUCUCCGCGCGUGAAUGCGAGUCACCCCUAACCUCCUUCUUCCUUCUGUUUUCCAUCGCAGAGAAGAGCCGUCUCACCACCGGCCUGAUCUCCCACCAUAAAGCCACAGAAUAUGCCUCAUCCUCUACCUCCAUUUCUAGCAAACUCGGUCUGAAAUCACCUUUUGUUUUAACCAAAAUCCUAGCCCACUGGAUCUCCCUCAUCGACCUUGUGCGUUCAUCCAUGUCUAAGAAGCCCCCACAUUCCUCCCCUAUUUUCUUCAGAAUCCCCUGGCUCCAAAGCGAAAUUGGAAGGCCGAAGAUUUUAACCCAGGCUACCUGCUCCAUCUCCUCCUCAACCCGACAUCCCGUCUUUGGAUUCCAUCGGUCCAGCCGUAAAUGGGCUCCUCCCAUCAGUCUGCUCCCCGAAAAGACCACACGGUGUGCCUCACUAAUAUCUUCAAACUCCAACAAAGCCUUACCUCUUUCCAACUUGGCCAGCCCUAGCUUGCCUUUUAGGCCCCAGGAAUUCGCCCAGAGGUUACCCAACCUUUCCAAGUCGUCUUCCUCCUUUUCGUUGGAUUUCCAGCUCGCGACGAGGCAAUGCCCCAGCUUCUGUAAGUUACCAGCGAUCUCCUCCCUAGUGACCUUCAUAUUUAUUGCGUUUAAGCUAACCCGGUCUGUCCUCCUGACUGCUUCUGCGUAAGAUUUCGCCGGAGUAAUUUUUCCGACGGUCCUUACCUCCUGCAACUCUGUUCUUCUACCGGCCAACUCUUCCAUUUGACGUACCAUCUCUGCCAUAGCCGUCCAUCCUCUUUUGUCCCUCCUACCUCUCGGUAAGAAGAUGCAAAACCUUUUUCGUUCCAAAUCUUCAACCCCCAAUCUCAAGAAAGCACCCGCUCUGUUGAAUCCCCGAGCCAAGGUGUACAGCUUACCUCUUUCUUUCCACUCCUUCUCCCAUCGCCCCUCUUUUUCGUCCCGAAUACAGUGGAUUAAACCCUCCUUAAAGAGCCCUAAGCUGUCCAGCCCUAACCGAACCCAUGUCGAGACCCCUCGUUUCUUCUCCACUACGCGAACCUGGCACUUCCCUUUCCUAUCUUCCAGGGCAAGCUCGAAGGUCUUGGAUUCCACCGUAAAGCUUCGCUUUCGGCUCGCCUCGCCGAUCUCCUCGUCGUCGCCGUCACACGCGCUCUCACGCGCCCUCUCGCCCUCUCUCUCUCUUGCGCUCUCUCGCUCUCUCUCUCCCAUCUCAACAAGUGUCAACAUGGAAUGUUUUCCUUCCUACAAAAUAAUCAAAUCAGGAUUCUCCGACUUUCCAAACAAUGACAUUAAAUUUCCAUCUGAGUCCAGAUUACAAUUGUAAUUUCACUGAAAAGCAAGAUUAUUUAAUUCUGCUUCUUAAACCAGUAGUUCUAGUUUUCCCUUUCCUUCUCCCUAAUACAGUAAGAGAUACUGCAGUUCAGUUCAGACUGGUUCUCAACAAAUAAAAAAGAAAUGAGACAAACAGAACAUGAGAACUAAAGUUAUGCAAGAAAAAUUAACACCAAGACUUUAACUAAGAACCACUUGCUACACUUUCCGUCCUUAUUUAGACAAUUUUCUUUGUUGAGCUCCCUCCUCAAAUUUUCACUUAAACUAAAACCCAUCCUUGAGUAUCAACCUCUUCAUCCAGCAACUACUGGUGAUUUGUUCCUUAUCUUCACAAGUUUUUGCAAAAAUUAAUAAAAUAAAGACCCUUUUUUUAGGAGGUAAUACAGCCAUAUUAGAAUUAAAUUUUGCUAAUUUUUUUAAUAGAAAUUAUCACUUUUUGCUAUUUUCUGGACAAGUGAAAUCUCUUGGAUUUCCUUAGCUUUUCACAAAGGGAUAUCAAUAAAAAUUGGGUACAUGGCACAAUUUCACAACCUGGCAAUGUAUUGAGG